rnacentral:rRNA from 1 species
AUUGAACGCUGGCGGCAUGCUUUACACAUGCAAGUCGAACGGUAACAGGGUGCUUGCACCGCUGACGAGUGGCGAACGGGUGAGUAAUGCAUCGGAAUGUACCGUGUAAUGGGGGAUAGCUCGGCGAAAGCCGGAUUAAUACCGCAUACGCCCUGAUGGGGAAAGUGGGGGACCGAAAGGCCUCACGUUAUACGAGCAGCCGAUGUCUGAUUAGCUAGUUGGUGAGGUAAAGGCCCACCAAGGCGUCGAUCAGUAGCGGGUCUGAGAGGAUGAUCCGCCACACUGGGACUGAGACACGGCCCAGACUCCUACGGGAGGCAGCAGUGGGGAAUUUUGGACAAUGGGCGCAAGCCUGAUCCAGCCAUGCCGCGUGUCUGAAGAAGGCCUUCGGGUUGUAAAGGACUUUUGUCCGGGAGCAAAUCCUAGUGGUUAAUAACCGCUGGGUCUGAGAGUACCGGAAGAAUAAGCACCGGCUAACUACGUG